rnacentral:tRNA from 1 species
UCCCUGAAGGACUAGUGGUUAGGCCUUGGCGCUCUCACCGCAGCAGCCCCGGUACAAUUCCCAGUCAGGGAA